rnacentral:rRNA from 1 species
GAUGAACGCUGGCGGCGUGCCUAAUACAUGCAAGUCGAACGAAACUUCUUUAUCACCGAGUGCUUGCACUCACCGAUAAAGAGUUGAGUGGCGAACGGGUGAGUAACACGUGGGCAACCUGCCCAAAAGAGGGGGAUAACACUUGGAAACAGGUGCUAAUACCGCAUAACCAUAGUUACCGCAUGGUAACUAUGUAAAAGGUGGCUAUACUACCGCUUUUGGAUGGGCCCGCGGCGCAUUAGCUAGUUGGUAGGGUAAAGGCUUACCAAGGCAAUGAUGCGUAGCCGAAUUGAGAGGUUGAUCGGCCACAUCGGGACUGAGACACGGCCCAAACUCCUACGGGAGGCAGCAGUAGGGAAUCUUCCACAAUGGGCGAAAGCCUGAUGGAGCAACGCCGCGUGGGUGAAGAAGGUCUUCGGAUCGUAAAACCCUGUUGUUAGAGAAGAAAGUGCGUGAGAGUAACUGUUCACGUUUCGACGGUAUCUAACCAGAAAGCCACGGCUAACUACGUG